GUGAGCGAGCUUGGUCUUUCCCUCCAUUAUGCCUUCCCUCCGUCAGUCUUGUUGUUGCCGACGACCUUGGUACACUCGUCUACCAUUGCUGGAGGUUCUCUUCCUCCUCUAUACUGGUUGUGGGGUGUGUCGGACAUUCUUCUUCUUCCCCCAUGUUCGAUCUGCAGCUUCCCCUACUCUGUUUGAUGCUCUGUCCGAUCUGAUGUCAAUGUACCUGUGUGAAGAAACACAGUUCAUCGUUGCUGUCAGUUGCCGCUUGGUUUGUGAGUCUUCCUUCUUUGUUUCAUUUAGUGCUGUUGUUUGGUGUGAUGGUGAUAAAGCAUCGUCGUUCCUCUUCUCUUUUGGAUGCUGAUUAUGAGAAGAGCCACGAGUGACACGUGGAGGAGUCCCAGAGGCUUAGUGGUAUAGAUCCACUGUCUCUUUUGGGUAUUUAAUUUAUGAUUUAUAAUGUGUUAUAUUGCCAAUAUUAGGGCUUUUUGUUUAUUGUCAAUUAUAUGAAUAUAUAAAUGUAAUCAUGCCUUUCAAACUAUUUCUAUUUUUGGUACAAUUUGGAUGACUGUAAUUUUAAUAUUUGGUUUACUUUGGAUUGGUUAAAAUGGCAUGAUUAUAAGGCCAAAUAACUGGCUUGUGUUGAAAAUUGACUAAAUUGUUUAUUUUACUUGUUGGGAGUAUAAGGAUGGACAAAUGUGAUUUAGUUUACUUGUUGGGAGUAUAAGGAUGGACAAAUGUGAUUUAGCCUAAUGGCAUGUGGGAGGUAAAAA